rnacentral:rRNA from 1 species
CGAACGCUGGCGGCGUGCUUAACACAUGCAAGUCGAGCGGUAAGGCCCUUUCGGGGGUACACGAGCGGCGAACGGGUGAGUAACACGUGAGUAAUCUGCCCUCCACUUUGGGAUAAGCCUCGGAAACGGGGUCUAAUACCGGAUAUGAGCUUCCUACGCAUGUGGGUUGCUGGAAAGUUUUUCGGUGGGGGAUGUGCUCGCGGCCUAUCAGCUUGUUGGUGGGGUAAUGGCCUACCAAGGCGACGACGGGUAGCCGGCCUGAGAGGGCGACCGGCCACACUGGGACUGAGACACGGCCCAGACUCCUACGGGAGGCAGCAGUGGGAAUAUUGCACAAUGGGCGAAAGCCUGAUGCAGCGACGCCGCGUGAGGGAUGACGGCCUUCGGGUUGUAAACCUCUUUCACCAGGGACGAAGCUAACGUGACGGUACCUGGAGAAGAAGCACCGGCUAACUACGUGCCAGCAGCCGCGGUAAUACGUAGGGUGCGAGCGUUAUCCGGAAUUAUUGGGCGUAAAGAGCUCGUAGGCGGUUUGUCGCGUCUGCCGUGAAAGUCCGGGGCUUAACUCCGGAUCUGCGGUGGGUACGGGCAGACUAGAGUGCAGUAGGGGAGACUGGAAUUCCUGGUGUAGCGGUGGAAUGCGCAGAUAUCAGGAGGAACACCGAUGGCGAAGGCAGGUCUCUGGGCUGUAACUGACGCUGAGGAGCGAAAGCAUGGGGAGCGAACAGGAUUAGAUACCCUGGUAGUCCAUGCCGUAAACGUU